rnacentral:sRNA from 1 species
GUUAUCAUUUCUUUAAUUGCGUUCAAUGUUUCAGUU